rnacentral:rRNA from 1 species
GGGCGGCCGAUGGCGGAUUAGCUAGUUGGUGGGGUAAAGGCCUACCAAGGCGACGAUCCGUAGCUGGUCUGAGAGGACGACCAGCCACACUGGGACUGAGACACGGCCCAGACUCCUACGGGAGGCAGCAGUGGGGAAUUUUGGACAAUGGGCGAAAGCCUGAUCCAGCAAUGCCGCGUGUGUGAAGAAGGCCUUCGGGUUGUAAAGCACUUUUGUCCGGAAAGAAAUCCUGAUGGCUAAUAUCCGUCGGGGAUGACGGUACCGGAAGAAUAAGCACCGGCUAACUACGUGCCAGCAGCCGCGGUAAUACGUAGGGUGCAAGCGUUAAUCGGAAUUACUGGGCGUAAAGCGUGCGCAGGCGGUGAUGUAAGACCGAUGUGAAAUCCCCGGGCUCAACCUGGGAACUGCAUUGGUGACUGCAUCGCUUGAGUAUGGCAGAGGGGGGUAGAAUUCCACGUGUAGCAGUGAAAUGCGUAGAGAUGUGGAGGAAUACCGAUGGCGAAGGCAGCCCCCUGGGUCAAUACUGACGCUCAU